CAGUCGCCGCGGGAAUACGUAUGGUGCGAGCGUUAAUCGGAAUUACUGGGCGUAAAGCGUGCGCAGGCGGUUCGUUAAGACAGAUGUGAAAUCCCCGGGCUUAACCUGGGAACUGCAUUUGUGACUGGCGAGCUAGAGUAUGGCAGAGGGGGGUAGAAUUCCACGUGUAGCAGUGAAAUGCGUAGAGAUGUGGAGGAAUACCGAUGGCGAAGGCAGCCCCCUGGGCCAAUACUGACGCUCAUGCACGAAAGCGUGGGGAGCAAACAGGAUUAGAGACCCGAGUAGUCCCUGUCUCUUAUAA
rnacentral:rRNA from 1 species